rnacentral:lncRNA from 1 species
UGAAUUUGCUUUAACCACACUGAAAAUCGAGGGAUUGUUUGAUGGAAGAAGUGUUUGUGUGCUUGUCAAGGCCGUAUGAUCCUUUUUAUUAACAGGCGAUUUACUGAUGGAAUUCUCUGUUAAUGAAGAGGAGAGGGGUUUGGCAAGCAUGGAAGCAGUCUGAUUCUUCAAUCCCUUUUGAUGUGGAAAACCUUGGCCCUUCACUGAGAGCAAACUUCCCCUGUACUUCUGGUGAAAUGUUUGUGUUUUCUUUUCAUUUUGUUAGUUUUCUUCUAGGUACUUGUAUCUUAAUACCAUGUAAAAAUGCAAAGAGAUCAGUUUUAAUGCUCAAAAUUCUUUUUUUUGGUUAGUAUCAUUUGGUUGUAGUGGUGAUAAAUGUGUAGAAUUAUUGAUACGAAGUCGAUCUCGAAGAUGAAUUUUGGAAGGGUGGAAAAUGAUUUAAUUUUGGUUGAUAAUCAUGCCAAAUCAUAAAAAGGUUGAUUAUUUUCUCCGUGUAAGAAUAUGAUUAAGAACCCCCCACCUAGAGAAAUUUACCUCUUUAUCCCUGGUAAAUAAUGCCAUGACAAAUGUCUUCUUUUUAGUUUUGCAUACUGCGUGUAUAACUUUUUCUAUUUUAAUUGUAGUUUCACCCUGAAGAUUGAAAAUUUAAAGUCCCUCAGUUGUCUUCAAUAUUCACCUAUGAAAUCAUGUUAUUUUUACCUUUUCUUUCUCAUACUGUCCCAUUUGUUUUCCUCUCUCUCCCUCGCUUUCACCCUCAGGUUGUACAUCUUUCCUUGUAUGAAAUUUUUGGAGUACAAAUCAGCACGUACGCUCCUUUUUUGUAGUCAUGUAGGAAUUGAACUUGGGAUGCAGCGUUACAAUCAUCAACCACUAAACCAAUAAUGCCCAAGCCCAUAUUUGCCGUCUGCUUCCAGAAGUGCUAACUAAGUCGUCCAUCCUAGGGCAAUGAGAAACCCUAAAUUCUUUUCUCUUCGUUCUCCCAAAAACCUUAUAAGGUCGAGGCGCUCAUGCCCUUCCCACAUUGCCAUUUCGUUCAUGUUAUUUCCAUUUUAUCUGCAGGUUGUAAUUUACCAACACUCUCCUUGGUUUUUCCUCUAAAUCGCAACUAUCUAUGGUGCUUUUAACAAUGGAUUAUCUUCAUUUGAAUGUUUUUGGCAUAAUUUUGAUGGAAGUUCUCACUUUUAUAUAUCGCACUCUUCCUUUGAUCAUAAUCGCAGUAAUGGUGUUUUUAGCAGCGAUUCCUAUGAAGAGAUGCUACAUUAAUUAAUAAUUUCGGGACUUUAAUGGACACGAGAGUCUUGAUCUCUUUGCAUGGACCCUCGCUUUUCUCGUAGGUCCCACAUUUUCUCUUGCUCUUUCUCUCUCUAAUGCUUUUACCUAGUUUAAUCUUUCAGACCCUUUCCUUUCCCUUUUUUCUCUCUAAUUGUCUCUCUAGAUGCUUUUGCCCAGAGAAAUAUUGACUGGAGUUACACAAUGAUGACUGAAUUUGCUUUAACCACACUGUUAAUGAAGGGAAUGUUGAUGGAAGAAGUGUUUGUAUGCUUGUUGAGGUCGUAUGAUCCUUUUCAUUAACAAAGGAUUUAUUGAUUGAAUUCUCUGUUAAUGAAGAGGAGAGGGGUUUGGCAAGCAUGGAAGCAGUCUGAUUCUUCAAUCCUUUUGGAUGUGGAAAACCUUGGUCCUUAACUGAGAGCAAAUUCUUCCUGUACUUUUGGUAAAGUGUUCGUGUUUUUUUAAAUUUUUUAGUUUUGUUCUGGGUGCUGGUAUGUUAAUUCCAUUAAAAAAUGCAAAAUAGAUCAGUUUUAAUGCUUAAAAUUCUUUUUUUUUUGGUUAGUAUCAUUUGGUUGUGGUGGUGAUAAAUGUGUUAGAAUUUUUGAUAUGAAGUCCAUCUCGAAGAUGGAUUUUGGAAAGGUGGAAAAUGAUUUAAUUUUGGUUGAUUAUCAUAUCAAAGCAUAGAACGGUUGAUGAUUUUUUCCUUGUAAAAAUAUAAUUAUGAACACCCCACCUAGAGAAAUUUACCUCUAUAUCCCAGGUAAAUAAUGCCAUUACGAAUGUCUUCUUUUUAGUUUUUCAUACUGCGUAUAUAUCGUUUUCUAUUUUAAUUGUAGUUCACCCUGAAGCUUGAAAUUUUGAAGUCCCUCAAUUGUAUUCAACUUUCACAUAUGAAAUCAUGUUAUUUUUGUCUUUUUCUUUCUCGUACUUUCCCAUUUCUUUUCCUCUCUCUCCGUCUCUUUCCCCGUCAAGCUGUACAUCUCUGCUCGUUUGAAAAUUUUGGAGUACAAAUCAGCAUGUACGCUCCUUGUUUUAGUUUUGGUAAGAAUCGAACUCGGGAUGCAGUGUUACUUUCAUCAUCCAAUGAACCAAUAAAGCCGAAGCCCAUGUUUACCGACUGCUUCCACCAGCACUUUCUAAGCUGUAUCCAAGGGCAAAGAGAUACCCUAAUUUCUUCUCUCUCCGUUCUCCUUGAAACCUUAUAAGGUCGAGGCGCUCAUAUGCUUCCCCUCACCGCAUUUCAUCCAUGUUAUUUCCAUUUCCUCGGCAUGAUAAAUUUCGUUGUAAUUUACCAAUAUUUUCCUUGGUUUUUUCUCUGAAUCGUAGCUAUCUAUGGUGUUUUUAACAAUGAUAUAUCUUCAUUCGAAGUUUUUUUGCAAAUUAUUGAUGGAAAUUCUCACUUUUAUUUAUCGCACUCUUCCUCUGAUUAUAAUCACAGAAACAGUGUUUUUAGAAGUGAUUCAUAUGAAGAGACGCUAUUUUAUUUCAUAAUUUCGGGACUUUAGUGGACACGAGAGUCCUGAUCUCUUUGCACGGACUGUCGUUUUUCUUGUAGGUUCCACAUUUUCUCUUGCUCUUUCUCUCUCUAAAUGCAUUUACGUAGUUUAAUCUUUCAGGCCCUUUCCUUUCCUUUUUUUCUCUCAAAUUAUCUCUCUCUAGAUGCUUUUGCCUUGAGAAAUAUUGAUUGGAGUUGCUCGAUGAUGACAGAAUUUGCUCUAACCACACUGAAAUUGGAGGGGUUGUUGAUGGAAGAACUGUUUAUGUGCUUGUUGAGGCCGUAUGAUCCGUUUCAUUAACAGAGGAUUUAUUGAUGGAAUUCUCUGUUAAUGAAUUGGAGAGGGGUUUGGCAAGCAUGGAAGCAGUCUGAUUCUUCAAACCCUUGGGAUGUGGAAUACCUUGGCCCUUCACUGAGAGCAAACUCCUGCUCUACUUCUGGUAAAAUGUUUGCGUCUUUUUCAUUAUAGUUUUCUUUUGGGUGUUGGUCAAUUAAUACCAUUGAAAAAUGCAAAAUAAAUCAGUUUUAAUGCUCAAUUUUUUUUUUUUGUUAGUAUCAUUUGUUUGUGGUGGUGAUAAAUUUUUUGAAUUUUAGAUAUUAAGUCCAUCUCGAAGAUGUAUUUUGGAAGGUUGGAAAAUGAUUUAAUUUUGUUUGAUUAUCAUGCCAAAGCAUAAAAAGGUUGAUGAUUUUUUCCUUGUUAGAAUAUGAUUAUGAACAUUCCACUUAGAGAAAUUUACCUCUAUAUCCCUGGUAAAUAAUGCCAUUACGAAUGCCUUCCUUUUAGUUUUGCGUACUGCGUGUAUACCUUUUUCUAUUUUAAUUGUAGUUUCUCCCUGAAGAUUGAAACUUUGAAGUCCCUUAAUUGUCUUCAAUUUCACAUAUGAAAUCUUGUUAUUUUUACUUUUUCUUUCUCAUACUGUUCCAUUUCUUUUCCUCUCUCUCUCUCUCUCUCUCUCUCUCCGUCAGGCUGUACAUCUUUGCUUGGAUGAAAUUUUUGGAGUACAAAUCAGCAUGUGCGCUCCUUUUGUAGUUCAGGUAGGAUUCGAACUUGGGAUGCAGUGCUACAUUCAUCAUCCAUUAAACCAUUAAAACCGAAGCCCAUAUUUACCGAUUGCUUCCCCCAGCACUAUCUAAGCCUUCCAUCCUAGGCCAAAGAGAAACCCUAAUUUCUUCUCUCUCCAUUCUUCAAGAAACCUUAUAAGGUCAAGGCGCUGAUGCCCUUCCUCUCACCGCAUCCCGUCCAUGUUAUUUCUGUUUUUUCUGCAGGUUGAUUUUCGUUUAAUUUACCAACAUUCUCCUUGGUUUUUCGUCUGAAUCGAUGCUAUCUAUGGUGUUUUUAACAACGAUUUAUCUUCAUGCGAUUUUUUUUCGAAAACUUUUGAUUUAAAUUCUCACUUUUAUAUAUUGCACUCUUUCUUUGAUCAUAAUCGCAGUAAUGGUGUUUUUAGCUGCGAUUCCUAUGAAGAGAUGCUACAUUAGUUCAUAAUUUCGGAACUUUAAUGGACACGAGUGUCCUGAUCUCUUUUCACGGACCCUCGCUUUUCUCGUAGGUUCCACAUUUUCUCUUGCCCUUUCUUCAAUCCCUUUGGAUGUGGAAAACCUUGGCCCUUCACUGAGAGCAAACUCCCCCUGUACUUCUGGUAAAUUGUUUGUGUUUUCUUUUCAUUUUGUUAGUUUUCUUCUGGGCGGUGGUAU